GUAGGUGAACCUGCGGAAGGAUCAUUAUCACGUAUCCACGUAUAAACCAUUGUGAACCGUUUUUUUAUUAACCUUUGUUCUCGGAUAAGAUAGUUUGCGAAUUAAACAUUUUACAAACAGCACUAGUAAUUGAGCUGUUGUUUAAAUCGCCGCAGUCGGUGUUUUCUCUCCGGAGUUCCCGAUCGCACUUACUGAGAAUCAAAGUGUAUUCAAUUACUUAAACUAUCAUUAACCAUUUUAACCCAAUCUUUAUAACUUUAUUGAACUAACUUUAUUUUAUACUCUUCGGAGAUAAAAUUCAUUACGAAACAAAGAACAACUCUUAGCAACGGAUAUCUUGGUUCUC
rnacentral:misc_RNA from 1 species